AAAUAUUUGGCUAACCCAUAAGCCAUAACACCAAAUUCAGAAUUACUGCACCGUAAAUGAAUUUUAUCCUUUACAAAUGGGUCUAAUACUUUUCAGAAAGGUUCUAAUUCAGCUAAGGAAGGUUCUGAUUCAGCUUAGGAGGGUUCUGAUUCGGCUCAAGAGGGCUCUGAUUCGGCUCAGGAAGGUUAUGAUUCAGCUUAGGAAAGUUCUGAUUCAGCUCAAAAAAAGGUUCUGAUUCAAUUCCAGAAGGUUCUGAUUCAGCUCAGAAAAGGUUCUGAUUCGGCUUGGGAAAGAUUCUGACUUAAUUCAGGAAAGGUUCUGAUUCAGCCCCAGGUAGGUUGUGAUUCAACUCAGGAAAGUUUCUGAUUUAGCUUUCUAAAUUUCUGGUUCAGUUUAGAAUGUUUCUGAUUCCAGUCAGAAAGGUUCCCUUUCUGCUCUAAAAAGUUUCUGAUUUUGCUCAGGAAAGAUAUAGAUUUCAUUUGAGGAAGUUUUAAUUCUGCUCAGGAAAAUUCUGAAGAAUGAGUAGAGCUGGAGCUCAGUGGUAGAGAUGUUUCUGAGAGAUAAUCUGCUGUCAUACUGGAUCCAUUCAUCACCCACUGAGAGACCAGAGAAGGGAGGAGGGAAAGGGAGAGAAAUUGAGAGAAGAAACAGUGGCUUGAGCACACACACACACAUGUACACAUCUGGAGGGACAUUCCUGGUUGUCUGGGUCUAGACUUUCAUGUAUCUCCUGAGUGAUAUCAUGGAUGUGAUGUCAUACCUCUGCUCUGAGAUUAGGCUCUCUUGAGAUGAGCAAAUUCUUCGUAAAACCGAUCACCGGCAGGUGCAUGCUGGAUAGAGAUCUCCGACUUGUUGUGAUGUCAUGGUGACGUAUGUCAAAAAUACUCUUAUGAGAGCGAGCCGGAGCCAGGCGGCGCAGUUGCAUUUUCCCAGCAGCGAAAACUUCAUGCAUGAUGGGAAACAACUUGCUGAUCACACAGCUUAAUGCUCAUUGGUUUAAACAACUCUGAUGUUUUGUUCUCUUCUGAAAUAUUAGAUUUUGUUAACUCUGAAAUCAUGUUUUUAUGUGCUUACAUUAUGUGUGAAUAUCCCCAACACUGUCAGUGAUCUCUGUAUGGGAAAAUGUGAUUGUUAUCAUACUUCUAAAAUGUCUGAAAUAUGUCUUUUAUUAAACUAAUAAAAGGAAGAAAAAGACAUGGCUUUUUGGUGGAAUUAAAUUGCGAUUGUGUAUUAGGUGACAUGUUUAUAUAAAUUUUCAUUUAAAAGCGACAGAAUUUAAAUUACAUCUACUUUAUCAGCAACCAAGCACAUGAACGCAAAUCACGCACAUAUCUGCCUGACUGCCUUUGAUCUCGUAGGUAGCUGAUCCACUAUGAGAAGUGAGAACUGUCCGACUUGAUACUUAUUUCACUCCUCCCCUGACUGCAGCCGCAUACUCUUGUCUACUUUAAAGGCGAGGUGUUUUGGCAUCUCAAACUUUAAUUGUGAUAUGAUCGGCCAUGCAAAUGAUGUAAGAAUGUAAAUAAGCUACAACUAGUAAAAAGUAUGGAAUAAAAUAAAAUUUCUCUUCAAAAAUAUGACAUGGUUUUAAAUAACUUGUUGCAACAGAUGCACUCAUAUAACAUACCAUUUGGAAGAUUAACUAGGUUUCACAAAAAAAGUUUUUUAUUUUUUAUAAUCCCCUUUUAUCCCAAUUUGGAAUGCCCAAUUCCCACUACUUAGUAGGUCCUUGUGGUGGCGUGGUUACUCCCCUCAAUCCGGGUGAUGGAGGACAAGUCCCAGUUGCCUCAGCUUCUGAGACCGUCAAUCCGUGCAUCUUAUCAUGUGGCUUGUUGUGCAUGACACCGCGGAGACUCCGCAUGUGGAGGCUCAUGCUGCUCUCCACGAUCCACGUACAACUUACCACGCGCGCCAUUGAGACGAGAGACCCUAAUCGCAACCACGAGGAGGUUACCCCAUGUGACUUUACCCUCCCUAGCAACCAGGCCAAUUUAGUUGCUUAGGAGACCUGGCUGGAGUCACUCAGCGCACCCUGGAUUCGAACUCGCGACUCCAGGGGUGGUAGUCGGCGUCAAUACUUGCUGAGCUACCCAGGCCACCUCACAAAAAAAGUUUAAUCAUUAUACCAAAAUCUUUGUUGCAACAACUUUGAAUAUGAAAUGCAUUUUAUGCAUUUUUAACUGAUAAUUUUAAAUGCUGAUGUGUGCUAAUAGUUAGUUUUGUCAACUUUUAGGAGAACACUAGCAUUUUCUUCAGCGCUAAUUGACUUGGACUAAGCCAUAAAACUCCAAUUCUGAUGUCUUGGGAUCUUUAAAGACAACUUCUCUUUUGUUGUUCACAUCUUCUCCCCUCAUGAAGUUUACUUUAUUUACAUUUAUGCAUUUGGCAGACGCUUUUAUCCAAAGCGACUUACAGUGCCCUUAUUACAGGGACAGUUCCCUUGGAGCAACCUGGAUUUAAGUGCCUUGCUCAAGGACACAGUGGUGGUGGCUGUGGGGAUCGAACCAGCAACCUUCUACCAGUUAUGUGCAUUAGCCCACUACGCCACCACCACACACACUUUAAUCCUGCAGCUCAGUACACAAACAGUGCCAGGUGUGGCUUGGGUGACUCAUCAUGAAUAUUAAUUUCAUUAUGUGACGUUUGCUGUAACUGAUUUUGUGAAAGGUGGACGUUGGUUGGUGAGCACUAGCCGUAGGAUUACCACUCACCGUUUGUUUUAUGAGGCCAGCUAAAAAAAAAAAUCCCUUCGCACUAGGGCCAAGCUGAAUAAACUUCUCUGAAAUCUAAUUAUCUCCCAAAUUUAGUUAUUUCUAAAAACGGGGCAACAUGAUCUCUGCUAAAAGAGUGUCAGACAUUCGAUUUAGAGGCACUAGAUAUGAUCUCCCUGCCAGUGUCUGAGCUGUUGUGGCUCCUGUGCAGUUUGAUCAUAAAUGACGUUGUUUACUCCUCGAACCCUCAGGGGUCAUUCCAGUGUUAGUGUGUUGCUAGGUAACUAACCCUCUAUUGUGUAUGUUUGUGUGU